GACGAACGCUGGCGGCGUGCUUAACACAUGCAAGUCGAACGAAGAGCGAUGGAAGCUUGCUUCUAUCAAUCUUAGUGGCGAACGGGUGAGUAACGCGUAAUCAACCUGCCCUUCAGAGGGGGACAACAGUUGGAAACGACUGCUAAUACCGCAUACGAUCUAAUCUCGGCAUCGAGGAUAGAUGAAAGGUGGCCUCUACAUGUAAGCUAUCACUGAAGGAGGGGAUUGCGUCUGAUUAGCUAGUUGGAGGGGUAACGGCCCACCAAGGCGAUGAUCAGUAGCCGGUCUGAGAGGAUGAACGGCCACAUUGGGACUGAGACACGGCCCAGACUCCUACGGGAGGCAGCAGUGGGGAAUCUUCCGCAAUGGACGAAAGUCUGACGGAGCAACGCGGCGUGAGUGAUGACGGCCUUCGGGUUGUAAAGCUCUGUUAAUCGGGACGAAAGGCCUUCUUGCGAAUAGUGAGAAGGAUUGACGGUACCGGAAUAGAAAGCCACGGCUAACUACGUG
rnacentral:rRNA from 1 species